GGCAGUAGGGCUUUUCUGUAAAGCAUGCAUUCUCUCACAACGGAACUGCUGGGUGAAGGCCACACAAUGGACCAAAUCUACAAAGGUAGAAAGAAGUACAUUGUCAACCCUCGAGCAGAAAAGGUUAUUAAGUUAGAAAGUAACCUGAAGAAUAUGUAGGCACGCUUGGAGGACUAUGACCAGCAAAUGGUGAGGAUGACAGAUAGAGAAGAGUGCACGGAGAACAUCAUAAAGCACUAUGAACAGAUGCUGCACCAGUAAACUCGCUCAAAUACUAUGGUGAGUGGCCUUUACUUGACAAUUAACUUUUUAAUUUUAAGUUGAAAUUUAAAUAUGGCAGCAAUACCUUGCAGCGGUAGUUUCGGACAAUGUUUAUGAUGGAUAUUUUGUUUUUUAGUGAACUUGAAGACAACUUUUGAUGAAUAUAUUGUUGGAAUGAUGAUUAAAAGUACAUA